GGAAAAUAUGGCGUCAGUCUAUUGUCGAAAAUCGCGGUGAAAUACGCGUUACACCGAAAUCUGUGCAUAAUUACGUGAAAUUAAUAUUAAAAUUUAUACUUUAUCUAUUUCGAGUGCAAUUAUUCGAUUAAUGUGCGUGUGUUUAAUCAUUUAUUAAGUAGAAAUAUAUCAAAAUUGAAUAGUUUUUGAACUCUUUUAUCGUUUCACGUUGCUCUUCAAUUUGAUCUAAUUAAUGAAAUAACUUAUCAAUAUGGACGCCACAACGGUCAAUCAGAUAAUUUACUUUUAAAAAUUUUUGUGAUCGCGUGCAAUGCGAUUAGUAGAGUCAGUGUUUGCUUCGUAACAGUAUUUUUUAAAACGUUUUUAAUGUAUAAUUGUUCUAUAAUUAAAAUUAAUUAUACGUUUUUUGUAAAAUUCGAGUCAGUGUUCGUCGAUUAGAUAUAACUUGAACAAUUGUGUCGAUAGUUUUUUAUUUUUUCUUAAAUAUUCGUUUUCGAUACAUAUUAGAAUCAGUGUUUCAAGAAAAUGAAGCGAUCGUCUGCUCGAAAAGAUAUUUCCCAAUCUCUUCACCUGUGUUUACAUCUUGAUUUCUUCUAGCAGCAUGACGAUGUCCUUCGCAUCUAAUGUUUCUCGUAGUCAUCGAUGACGCGUUUAGAGGAGUCAUAAGGAAGAGCUAGACAACUUGUAACAAUACCAGCCUCCAAAAUAAUGUGCUCGAAGACGCAAACACGUCAAUUAAGUUGAUUUCACAGUUACGAAACGAGACAUGGGAAAAAGGACGAGAAGAAGAAACAUUUUUAACGAUAAGCUUUGCCACCGCCUGCCACUAUACUUAGGUCGGGGUCCUCCUCCGCCUGGGAAACUUUUAAAGAGGCCGAAGAAGAAUAUUCGCAAAUGGAGUACUCAAGUUGCAGUUUGCGGUCAGUACGCUCAUAUUAUGCAGCCGUGAUCUUUGUAGAUUACAAACGAAAGUCUUUUCUCUUAGUGGCGUUCCGGUGAUGUUAAACUUUUGUGGGCCAGCGGCCGUCCAUUACGGUGAUAACAUUGCAGCCAUCAAGCUUACCACACUGCGCUUACUCCUCCCCCCAUCUUUCGAACAAGAAGAAGAAGAAGAAGAAACUGCUUUUAAUCUUCAAAGAGGAUUCUUUUAACCCUUUGUACAUAAGUAGAUUUCUCCCGUUCCUUGCGAAACGAAAUUUAUCAUAAUCCCUUGGCGUUUCUUAAACUUAAGUAAAUACGAAUCUUUACGAAUAUUGUAUAUACGAAUAUCCAUAAUUCCACGAAAUGAAUGAAGGGUAUGAUAAUUUGGCUUUGGAAAGAAGACACGAUAAUUCUACGAAACGAAUAAAGAAUUAUCGAAAGAGUAGAAGGUAAGUGAAAUUUCGGAAAAAAUUUACCACCUUGUCAAUUUUCCAGAAACUAAUUCUAUCUAUAACUAUUUCUAAAUCCUUGUACCUCCCGUACUCGAAUAACUCUUGUAUAAUACUCGAUAAAUAAUGUAAAAUUUUAAGUACGAGGAAUAAAUAGGUGGAAUAAGUCAGGUAGCGGAGAAACUUUCGAGCGAAAACGGUAAACAAGACGGAGAAGAAAACCGUGGCUAAUACCCACGAUUCGAUCGUAAAGCGAAGGGAAAGGCUUUCGCCCUGGAACGUAGUCGCCCGGUAGUCACCUGUAAUCUGCCCGUAAACGGUUUAAACUACGCUAAUUCUCCUCCACCUCGGGAAAACAUCUCCCCAGACCAAGCCUCUUAGGAGGAAACGCUCGUUAGGCUUGCCUUGUAAGCGGCCGGUAUACCUGCGUGCCGUGUUUCACCUCGAGAUAUCCCGCGAGAACACGUGAGAAUCGAAAGUAUCGGAAAGAAAAACGGACCGUUUCAAACCGGGUGAUGCGCGUAACGUUUGCGCGAGCACAGUGCUGGCGGCGGUGGUGGUGGGGGAAGCGGCGGUUCGAACGCGCGAUUCUAAUACCCGAUUAUAGCCGCGUUUAACACGAGCGUCUUCCGUUUCGACAACGCAACGCGGAUAGAAACGCGGCGGUUUCGUCGUUAAGGGAACGAACGGGACGAAUCGGCCGCUCGCUCGCGUGUGUUUAAUCGGAUCGUCCGUAUCAAUCGGCCUCGCGUGAAUACCACUACUGCUAUUACUGGCAUCACUGCAGGUCCAACUGCGGCUAAUGAUAUCGUAGGGACGAAGGAUUUCGCGUUUGUGUGUCUGCAGGUAUAUAUAUGUGUGUACUGCAUCAGAGGGGUGAUAUUAGGAGGGAGGGAAGGGGCUCGUUAUGGUCGGUUUUGGGGCAGGAUAUGGUUUGGGAGUAGUGUAUUUAAGAGCCGUCGUACGUGUUUAAUAUACGGGAAGCGUUGGAUACACGUUAUCGUCACGAUCGACGUGUAGUUGUAACCUUGAUAAUUUGCAGAGAGAUCUUCUCUUUUGAAUGGUAAAUAAAUCUUGCGCGUGUGUGUAA
rnacentral:lncRNA from 1 species